rnacentral:rRNA from 1 species
AUUGAACGCUGGCGGCAUGCUUUACACAUGCAAGUCGAACGGCAGCACGGGUGCUUGCACCUGGUGGCGAGUGGCGGACGGGUGAGUAAUACAUCGGAACGUAUCCAGAAGAGGGGGAUAACGCAUCGAAAGAUGUGCUAAAUACCGCAUAUUCUCUGAGGAGGAAAGCAGGGGGAUCGCAAGACCUUGCGCUUUUGGAGCGGCCGAUGUCUGAUUAGCUAGUUGGUGGGGUAAAGGCCUACCAAGGCGACGAUCAGUAGUUGGUCUGAGAGGACGACCAGCCACACUGGGACUGAGACACGGCCCAGACUCCUACGGGAGGCAGCAGUGGGGAAUUUUGGACAAUGGGCGCAAGCCUGAUCCAGCCAUGCCGCGUGAGUGAAGAAGG